ensembl:lncRNA
CGGCCGUGCCCUGGCCACGAGCCCACGCGGUCCCCCCGAAAAGAACCGCGAACUACGGGUGGGGGUCUCCCAGCCGGGCUGGAAACCGAACGGACUUCGUCCAGAACCUCGAGGCGGCGGGACGGAAUUGCAGAGCCGGAGACGCGCUUUGGUGGGAAAAGGAUCCGCUCCCCAGGACGGGGGCUUAGCGCCCGAGUGGGAGGCACAGAUUGCGCGUCGGAGGCCGCCGCGGAGCGAAGCGCUUCGUUAUCCGACUGUGAGCAAACGCGCGGCGCGGAGCCCGGCGGGAGCCAAGUAAACCGGAGGAAAUGAAGAGCGCUGGUAUUGUCUGAAAAUAUCCUCCUGCGGCUAAAUAUAUCACUUGACUCCUAUUGUCCAGCGGCUAAUCAUUCUGCGUAAAUACAGCUGUUUUCGUCCUCACCGUGCUCGCUGUAACCCACAAUAACAAAACCACCUUGACUUGGGAACCCGGCAAAAAACGGGAACUUAUUUCUAGGAUAUCCCAAGCAGCAACGGUUUUAAAAAAAAAAAAAAAGCCCAAAGCGAUGCGGCUUCGGGCUCCCUUCCUGCCAGCGGGGCCGAGCCGCUGUGAGCGGGGAGCGGGCAGUGCUCGGCUGCCGAGGGCCCGGCGCGCUACUCCCCGCGGCCCCGCUGCUUCCAAGGGCAUCGCCUCGGACAAGGAGACGUGGGAAUACGAGACGGGAAGGGGGUAAAAUAAUAACUAAAAAAAUAAACAACAAAGUUAAGGAGGCUAUUUUUUUAAAUUAUUUUUUAAACGCGGGGGGUUAUUGCAUGAGGAAGGCGAGGAGAAGCGCAUUUUGGGAUUCGCCGGGAACGUGGUUUCCUGACAGACUAACUGGGAAGGGACAGGCUUCUCGGGGAGGAAAUCCUGCCGGCGCCGUGGGGAGCGAUGCCCCACAUCCCCUCUACACCCCGGCUGCCCAUGCCGGUCGCUGGGAGGCCACGGGCAAGAACGGGUAGGCGAGCGAGCGAGAGCCGCUGAGUGCGGGUGACCUUCAGGGAAAAAGUAACGAUAAAAAUCAGGGCUCUGUUGUUUGCACUGCUUAAACCUCUAUUUCCUUCAGCCAGCUUCAUGGCAAAAGUCGGGUUUAUCCUGGAAUAAUUUGUUUUGGCUUCUUUUCGGCACUGAGGAGGGCGACGCAUAAAUAUUUGCCCUGAUCCUAAGAAAUCUGUGACAAAAUUCGCAGCUAAUUUGAACCGGAGCAAGGUUGGGCCCAUACCCCGUGUUCGCUUUCAAACAUGUAUCAGAAAUAACAGCUAAUCGUUUCCCUGCCCGUGGCAGGGGGGUUGAAACUAGAUGAUCAUUACGGUCCUUUUCAACCCAGGCCAUUCUAUGAUUCUAUGAACUAAGAAUACAGGGGACAGGAAAUUUUUAAUGGAAAUUUGAAAGUGGAAAAGCCCACCCUCAUUUGUCAUUACUCAAAAAAUUACCAAAAGAAAAGUGUAAAAGACCUAACAAGUAUUGCCACAUUUAAUAGAGAUAAAUGAUCGGGCUAUUGCCGCUUCUUUAAAGCAAUUUAAACGCAGUGUUUAUUGGUUGUACAAAAGGCCAAGUGCGCUGGAUACUCGAAGAAGCUCCUAAAAUAUCAUUAACACCAUAACAAUGUAUCUUCUGUAUUUAUGGCAGAGUUAAUGUAUAUCCAGAUGUUUUAGUACUUCUCCAUGCCUGUUUUAUAACUGCAAUUUUGGUUAACCAUAGCUUUUUAGAAAAUGAGCUUGGCUCUUCCUAAAUAUAGCCAUAGAAUUAAAGCAGCCUUGUAAUAAAAACCGGAAAAGAACUUGGUACAUUCUAACCAUGAGCUUCAGUCCUCUGUUUUAUUUAUUUUUAAACAGACUCUGACUGCUAUUUAGUGAAAAUAGAAAUUCUUAUUUAUUUGUGGUCUGUAGAGAGAGAGAGGGUGGGAAAGAAACAGGCUGAACCUCUACUACGCUACUCCUCUUUUUGUAAGGGUUUAUGUUUCCUUGUCCACAGCUGACCA